rnacentral:rRNA from 1 species
GGCGUCCGAGUUGUAAUCUAUAGAGGCGUUUUCCGCGCCGGACCGCGUCCAAGUCUCUUGGAAUAGAGUAUCAAAGAGGGUGACAAUCCCGUACUUGACGCGACAACCGGUGCUCUGUGAUACGUUCUCAAUGAGUCGAGUUGUUUGGGAAUGCAGCUCUAAAUGGGUGGUAAAUUCCAUCUAAGGCUAAAUAUUGGCGAGAGACCGAUAGCGAACAAGUACCGUGAGGGAAAGAUGAAAAGCACUUUGGAAAGAGAGUUAAACAGCACGUGAAAUUGUUAAAAGGGAAACGAUUGAAGUCAGUCGUGUGAAAGGUAUUCAGCCGUCUCUGGCGGUGUAUUUGCCUUUCACGGGUCAACAUCAGUUUGAUCCGGUAGAAAAAGGCAGGAGGAAGGUGGCACCCUCGGGUGUGUUAUAGCCUCUUGUCAUAUGUGCCGGACCAGACUGAGGAACGCAGCUUGCCGCAAGGCCGGG